ensembl:lncRNA DLEU1 deleted in lymphocytic leukemia 1
GUAUUCUCCACUGGUUGAAUGCAAAUGGAAGCCAGAGGAAAAGGGAACCCUUGACACAGUUUUCAUAUAGAUUGGCCUCCAGGGCAGACAGCAGGAGUGGGGUUUAAUCUGGACUGAAUUGGAGGAAAGGAACUGGCACCAGAGUGGAGGCUGGAAGGAUGGUGGAACUGACACUGGGACAGAACACAGAAAACAGAAUCUAAUGCUAUUGCUCUGGCUAUAUCAAAUAAAAGUGUCAAGAGUGAGCAUCCUUGCCUUGUGCUGAAUCACAAAGGAAUACCUUUCAGUUUUUCUCCAUUGAUUAUGAUAGCAGUGGGCUUUUCACAGUGGGCUUUACUGUGUUGAGGUUUAGGUGCAGUCAUCUUGGAUUUGAGUCGUGCUUGUGAAUUUUCAUGUGUUACAACAACCAGAUUAAAUUUCUUCAAGUGGAAAUAUUAAGUCAAAGAAAUUACCUAUUUCUAAUAAUUCUUACUGAAGAAGUGAAACCUAGCAGGAAGAAUUGUAUUUGGGUUCUGGAGGUUGGAAGUCUGAGACCAGGGUGUGACUGUGGUUGGGUUCUGGUGAGAGCGUCUUUGGUUUGUUGACAGUCACCUUCUUGCUGUGUCCUCAUGUGAGGGGAAGUAGAGGGAGAAAAAGCUCUCUGGUGUCUUUUUUUAUAAGGGCACUAAUCACAUCAUGAAAGCCCCACCCUCAAAACCUCGUCUAAGCCUAUUUAUCUCCCAAAGGCCCCAUCUCCAAAUUCCAUCACAUUGGAGCUUAGGGCUUCCACCUAUGAAUCUUUCUGGGGUGCAGUAUGGUUCAGUCUAUAGCAGAAAAAAAUAAUAAAAAAAAUAUAUAUAUGUACACACACACAUAUAUAUAUAUAAUUUAUAUUCAUGUAUACUUGUAUAGUUGAAAGUCUCCAAGAUAAUGAACAAAAUGCUGAAUGGUUAUUUCUGGGUCAUAGAAGGAGAGCAAAUUCUAGAACUUUUUUCUUUUUGUUUCUCUGUGUUUUCCAAGUUUUAUUCACUGAGCAUGUACUACCAUUGUGUUUAUAAAAUAUUAAAUUUUU